rnacentral:rRNA from 1 species
CCUACGGGCGGCAGCAGUGAGGAAUAUUGGUCAAUGGGCGGAAGCCUGAACCAGCCAAGUAGCGUGCAGGAUGACGGCCCUACGGGUUGUAAACUGCUUUUAUACGGGAAUAACGCGCCUUACGUGUAGGGCUUUGCAUGUACCGUAUGAAUAAGGACCGGCUAAUUCCGUGCCAGCAGCCGCGGUAAUACGGAAGGUACGGGCUUUCUCCGGCUUUAUUGGGGUUAAAAGGAGCGUGGGCGGCAUGUCAAGGGUACUGUUAAAUGUCCGGGCCCAACCCGGGCCUUGCCGCGGCAACUGGCGUGCUUGAGUCCGCGGAAAGCAGGCGGAAGUCGUGGUGGAGCGGUGAAAUGCUUAGAUAUGACGAAGAACCCCGAUUGCGAAGGCAGCUUGCUGCAGCGGAACUGACGCUGAUGCUCGAAAGCGCGGGUAUCGAACAGGAUUAGAUACCCUUGUAGUC